rnacentral:lncRNA from 1 species
CAAGAAACAGAUAUUACCACAAAACACUCCAAGGGAAAUCUCACUACACAAAAAGAGGUUGUUGCCUGGUGAUGGCUGGCAAUGGGCCAUGAAAACCUAGUUCUGAUUUUUAGAUACAAGAGACAAGCCCAAUGUGUCACCCAGCCUGGAUCCCAUAGAGGUCACAUGGACAAAACAGUACUUCAAGAUCUUUGACCUGCCUAGGUGGGCAACUGGAGUGGAAGCUCCACAAAGGAGAAGUGAUGGCGAAGUCAAGGCAUUAUGUGAACACUGGAAUACUGGAU